rnacentral:rRNA from 1 species
GACAGAGGAUGCAAGCGUUAUCCGGAAUGAUUGGGCGUAAAGCGUCUGUAGGUGGCUUUUUAAGUCCGCCGUCAAAUCCCAGGGCUCAACCCUGGACAGGCGGUGGAAACUACCAAGCUGGAGUACGGUAGGGGCAGAGGGAAUUUCCGGUGGAGCGGUGAAAUGCGUAGAGAUCGGAAAGAACACCAACAGCGAAAGCACUCUACUGGGCCAUUACUGACACUGAGAGACGAAAGCUAGGGGAGCAAAUGGG